ACAAGCGGUGGAUGAUGUGGUUUAAUUCGAUGCAACGCGAAAACCUUACCCACCUUUGACAUGGCAGGAAUCCCGAAGAGAUUUGGGAGUGCUCGAAAGAGAGCCUGCACACAGGUGCUGCAUGGCUGUCGUCAGCUCGUGUCGUGAGAUGUCCGGUUAAGUCCGGUAACGAGCGCAACCCUCGCUGUGUGUUAUAUGUGUCACACGGGACUGCCGGUAUCAAGCCGGAGGAAGGUGGGAUGACGUCAAGUCAGCAUGGCCUUUAUGUCUGGGGCUACACACACGCUACAAUGGCCAGUACAAUAGGUUGCAAGACCGCGAGGUGGAGCCAAUCCUUAAAGCUGGUCUCAGUUCGGAUUGCAGGCUGCAACUCGCCUGCAUGAAGUCGGAGUUGCUAGUAACCGCGCGUCAGCCAUAGUGCGGUGAAUACGUUCCCGGGCCUU
rnacentral:rRNA from 1 species